UACGUAGGGGGCAAGCGUUGUCCGGAUUUAUUGGGCGUAAAGAGCGUGUAGGCGGCCAGACAGGUCAGCUGUGAAAACUCGAGGCUCAACCUCGAGACGUCGGUUGAAACCGUCUGGCUAGAGUCCGGAAGAGGAGAGUGGAAUUCCCGGUGUAGCGGUGAAAUGCGCAGAUAUCGGGAAGAACACCCGUGGCGAAGGCGGCUCUCUGGGACGGGUACUGGACGCUGAGACGCGAAAGCGUGGGGAGCGAACAGGG
rnacentral:rRNA from 1 species